rnacentral:piRNA from 1 species
UGUGAACACACUUAACAUACUGUCUCGACA